CUCCUAGUGGCGUAGUUGGCUCAACGUGUUCGGCUGUAAUAGAUUCUUUGAUACCGAAAGAUCACCUAUUCGAUUCAGGUCUGGGAGA
rnacentral:tRNA from 1 species